GAUGAAAACGUAGCGAAAUGCGAUACGUAGUGUGAAUUGCAGAAUUCAGUGAAUCAUCGAAUCUUUGAACGCACAUUGCACCUCUCGGUAUUCCGGGAGGUAUGCCUGUUCGAGCGUCAUUUGUACCCUCAAGCUCUGCUUGGUGUUGGGUGUUUGUUCCGCCUCUGUGUGUGAACUCGCCUCAAAACAAUUGGCAGCCGGCGUACUUGUUUCGGAGCGCAGCACAUUUUGCGAUCCAGAUCAACGUACAGCGGCAUCCAAGAAGCCUUAUUUAACGCUCUUGACCUCGGAUCAGGUAGGGAUACCCGCUGAACUUAAGCAUAUCAAUAAGCGGAGGA
rnacentral:misc_RNA from 1 species